AACGAACGCUGGCGGCAGGCCUAACACAUGCAAGUCGAGCGAAGCCUUCGGGCUUAGCGGCGGACGGGUGAGUAACGCGUGGGAACGUGCCCUUUGGUACGGAAUAGCCCCGGGAAACUGGGAGUAAUACCGUAUGUGGUCGAGAGACGAAAGAUUUAUCGCCAAAGGAUCGGCCCGCGUUGGAUUAGGUAGUUGGUGGGGUAAUGGCCUACCAAGCCGACGAUCCAUAGCUGGUUUGAGAGGAUGAUCAGCCACACUGGGACUGAGUCACGGCCCAGACCCCUACGGGAGGCAGCAGUGGGGAAUCUUAGACAAUGGGGGAAACCCUGAUCUAGCCAUGCCGCGUGAUCGAUGAAGGCCUUAGGGUUGUAAAGAUCUUUCAGUGGGGAAGAUAAUGACUGUACCCACAGAAGAAGCCCCGGCUAACUCCGUGCCAGCCGCCGCAGUAAAAC
rnacentral:rRNA from 1 species